rnacentral:rRNA from 1 species
GAUGAACGCUGGCGGCGUGCUUAACACAUGCAAGUCGAGCGAAGCAUUUAGGAUGAUCUCUUCGGAUUGAGUCUUAUAUGACUGAGCGGCGGACGGGUGAGUAACGCGUGGGUAACCUGCCUCAUACAGGGGGAUAACAGUUAGAAAUGACUGCUAAUACCGCAUAAGCGCACAGGGCUGCAUGGCCUGGUGUGAAAAACUCCGGUGGUAUGAGAUGGACCCGCGUCUGAUUAGCUAGUUGGAGGGGUAACGGCCCACCAAGGCGACGAUCAGUAGCCGGCCUGAGAGGGUGAACGGCCACAUUGGGACUGAGACACGGCCCAGACUCCUACGGGAGGCAGCAGUGGGGAAUAUUGCACAAUGGGGGAAACCCUGAUGCAGCGACGCCGCGUGAAGGAAGAAGUAUCUCGGUAUGUAAACUUCUAUCAGCAGGGAAGAAAAUGACGGUACCUGACUAAGAAGCCCCGGCUAACUACGUGCCAGCAGCCGCGGUAAUACGUAGGG